rnacentral:lncRNA from 1 species
UCACUUACUACAUUCCUCAAGUAAAUUACAAGGUACAACUCAAAUAAUACAUCCCAUUCUCCAAAAUUACAUAUCAUAAGCGAAGCGGAAACUAGUUCUAAGCAUAAAAUAUAGAUUUACAUCCGAUUCAAUUCCAAAUAUUUAUACAGCCCAAAAGUACAUAAACCAAAACCAAAACUAAACUAUACAAGAUGUACGCCAUCCAGCCACACAAAGAUCCAAAAACAAGUUCUUCCUUUACUUCGAUCCCUGUGGGGAGAAGAAGAUAAUAGGGGGUGAGCUAGAAGCUCAGCGAGUGACCAGUAAAAUUAACAGCCGAGUAUAUUUCACAAUCAAGCAUUGAUAUGAUGUCAUGAUGCAGUAAUCAAAUGUUCAUUUAUUGCUCAUGUGAGCCAGUGAAAUUCUUGUGCUUAAAUAUCCAAUGCUCGUUUAGAUCAAGUAACCGUGAAACAGAAGUAAGGAGCCAUCGGGCUCCAAAGAAUGUGUAAACAAUAGUGGAGACAUUGGUUCUAAGCACAAGACUUUCCAGGAACUCAUUGGAGCCAAUUAUGUCAUGGCACACACCCGAACCCCAAAUGAUAUGGAAUGGAGUAAUAAAUGCAAGAAUUAGUUCAAAAGUAACUUUGGGGACAGUCGAGGGAUCACUCACUCAAACUAUAGCUUCAAGUAGUCACGUUCAAUUAUACUCCAGGUUUGGAGUCCAGAUCUGCGAUAGAAAUCCAAUUUGAGAACUUUGAAACACGAGUAAGAUUUGAAACUUAAACGUUCCGUUCAUAAGAAUCAACCAAUUGAAAUUCAUUUGAAAGGCAUUCGUGAAACACUUGCUCGCUUUUCAAAUCAUAAGGUUUUUGUAGCAUAUAUACUUGGAAACAAUACUUGAGUUAAAAGUACAAGGAAAUACAAGUUUACAUUGGCCAUUAUAUCUUUUCCUCAAGAGUACAAGUUCGUUUAGGUUUUUAACGUAUAACCAUCGAUAACAAAGUAGCAAAAGUUCUCGCUAGUUCAAGUGGUAAUCACUUAACCUUCACUCAAGUUGCAAAUAUAGUUUUCUAGUUCUCGAGUAAAAAUUCGGGCAGCAUGCCCUUUGUGUUUACCUAAUUUUCCAGCCAUUUAGGCUUCAUUGUUUUUCUCAAACACCACCCAACAACACACAUAUAAGCAAUUCAUGACAAGAGCCGUUCCAUAGGCUCACAAUAUCAUAAUAAUAAGAUUCACAACGAUAGCAAGUGCAGAAAUUCAAUCUAGCGCAAAACAGAUUUGACGUAUGAAAGCGGAAAUAACAUAUCCGAGGCUACGCUUAUUGGAUUGAGGUGCAACCUAUGCCGUUUCGAAGCUAAGACACAGGGCUACAAUGUUCAUGAAGGUCACUUAGUCCAGUUUCUAAUGUAACUUGGUCAAAUUCUCAAAAUACUAAACCAGAAACCAAUUCGUCGGCUGUUUAAACGCAAAACACUGUAAUGGUCAUAACUCAGUGUACACAAGUCCAAAUCAUGUGUUCUUAGAGGCAUUUUAAAGCUCCUUCAGAAAACUACAACUUUCAUGUUUUGGCCCAGAGCUAAAUCAGAAUGGAUCCUGGUAAAAAAUUGUGAUAAACUGGACUGAACUGAAGAAACGGACUGCUGGGAAAUACUUAGAACAGUAGGGGUAUUUUGGACUUUUCACGUCCUACGUUGCUCCGAUUGAGCUGAAAUUUUGUAGGCACCUAUAAAAUGCCAUUCUCUACAACUUUUCUUCUUUGACCUAAGGCCAAAACAGCCUCUAACAUACAGAUAAAAAUUCGGACAGAAUGUUGAGACAAUUUUCCAGAUUUUGGAAUUUUGAGUUUCUAGUGCAACUUUCCUUAAUUUCUUGGUCUAAUCACUACCACAACACCUUAUAAAACCUCAAUUGCAACAUAUGAGCAUCAUAUAAUAAUUUGGGCAGAAUUUCCAUAAGCCCUAGUUCAUCAAAUAAAUUGGGGAAAACUUCUAAAACAUGCUAAUCAUCCAUAAUCUCACCAUAAAAUCAAGUUGCCAAGCUUACUUUAACAAAUUUGAAAGCAAAACUUAGAGAGAUAAACUCUCUUACCUUGAAUAGAAGUCACUACAAGUAGCCCAAGCUUUCUCCUUCAAAAAUCACACCACAAGCCACUAGCUAGUCACUCAAGAACAAGUUUAAUCGGUUUACUUUGUUGGAUUUCUUCCUAAGUUGUUGGAUUUGAAGAUGAAAUGGAAUGUUUUCCUUUGGGUUUUUCUUCUUGCUUCUCACGGCCAGCACCAGCAG